rnacentral:rRNA from 1 species
GAUGAACGCUGGCGGCGUGCCUAAUACAUGCAAGUCGAGCGAACAGAUGAGGAGCUUGCUCCUCUGACGUUAGCGGCGGACGGGUGAGUAACACGUGGAUAACCUACCUAUAAGACUGGGAUAACUUCGGGAAACCGGAGCUAAUACCGGAUAAUUUAUUGAACCGCAUGGUUCAUUAGUGAAAGACGGUUUUGCUGUCACUUAUAGAUGGAUCCGCGCCGCAUUAGCUAGUUGGUAAGGUAACGGCUUACCAAGGCAACGAUGCGUAGCCGACCUGAGAGGGUGAUCGGCCACACGGGAACUGAGAGACGGUCCAGACUCCUACGGGAGGCAGCAGUAGGGAAUCUUCCGCAAUGGGCGAAAGCCUGACGUAGCAACGCCGCGUGAGGGAUGAAGGUCUUCGGAUCGUAAAACUCUGUUAUUAGGGAAGAACAAAUGUGUAAGUAACUAUGCACGUCUUGACGGUACCUAAUCAGAAAGCCACGGCUAACUACGUG